ACAUUAUGGGUAUUGAGUGAACGACUCAACUAGAAGAAGUCGAAUUUCGCUAUCUGACGCCAUCAUCAAUCCAAGAUGGUAUUGGGUAUUGGGUGAAAGGGCUAUACAAAUAAACACUCAGAAAUGAAUAAAAUAUAAAAAUAAUUUCUAUUUAAUCAUCACGUUAUUUAUAUGCGGGUAAUUGACGCAGUGUAUAAAAAAUAUGUAUCGGGUUAUUAAUUUUUAAUGCACUUGAAACAUUUCUCAGUGAGAAAUGUCCCAGUGCAUAAAAAUUAGAACCGAAAUAUUUCGAACUGUCAUUUCUUUUUCUUCUUCUUGCCAUGCAUGGCAGUCGUUUUCGUUGUAGUUUUUUUUUAACCAAAUCGUGCAAAAAUCGUUUGCGGAUGUGAUAUUCGAAAAGAUGUUCAUGAUAUUUGAACUCUGUUUGUAUCCGGAGGAGCCAUUCAUGAAGCAAAUUCGAAGGUUAUGCCACGUUGAAGUCCAGGUUUCGAAACCUGUAAAACUUACAAAAGUGAAAACAUGGCACAAAACAGCAACGUUGGGAGCGGUAGCAGCACCAUGACCGGGUCGAAAAAUCAGUUCGGCUGACUGGCAUCAGAAAUGUGGAGUAUUUGUGGGGGUGUCGAUUGUCCGGAAUGGAUUCAGCCUCUCCUGAAGGAUUCAUGGAGGUGAUGCUGAUUAAUUGAACCAACACCGAAGCUGCUCGUGGGUGGUGAAGGUUGUAAAGCAACAGCGACAUGGUGUCUCACUUAAUAAUGAAUUAUACAUUAUUUGAAAAUAAAAUUUUUAAUAAUAAAAUCGUGAAUUGUUUACUCCUGAAAACUCAA